GCCCUCUCUAUGCAUACAAUGUUAGUUGCCGCAGUGUGCAAUUAGGAGUCAUAUCUCCAUGCUUUCAUUCCGUAGGUGCGAUAGCUUUUACUGAUCGCGUCAUAGACAAUCUAAAUUGUUUUGUCUAAGGUUGUUUAGACUGGAAGUGAUUUGUUGGCUUGCUUGAAUUGUUUGGAGGGGCCACCAGAACCUGGGUUAAGAGCUAAACAUAGAUGGGACCUUUAUUGCGGAAUGUGGGCGACUAGGCAAGCGAGUAUUGGGAUAGCCGGGUGAAAGUGUGCCAUAUCAGAACUUCAGAAGGGAGUGUAAUAUAGUAGCUCAUGAUUUGGCUAAGCAAACAUGUCGGGGGAGUCAAUUUGGUGUGUGGUUAUUGCAUGUACUACCAGUAUUGUUCCUGUUGUGCUUAGCGAUUGUAAUGAAACUGAUUUCCAUAAUUUAUAAAGCAUUUUCCUUCUCUCA